rnacentral:rRNA from 1 species
GACGAACGCUGGCGGCGUGCUUAACACAUGCGAGUCGAACGGAAAGGCCCUGCUUUUGUGGGGUGCUCGAGUGGCGAACGGGUGAGUAACACGUGAGUAACCUGCCCUUGACUUUGGGAUAACUUCAGGAAACUGGGGCUAAUACCGGAUAGGAUCUCCUGCUGCAAGGUGGGGGUUGGAAAGUUUCGGCGGUUGGGGAUGGACUCGCGGCUUAUCAGCUUGUUGGUGGGGUAGUGGCUUACCAAGGCUUUGACGGGUAGCCGGCCUGAGAGGGUGACCGGCCACGUUGGGACUGAGAUGCGGCCCGGACUACUACGGGAGGCAGCGGUGGGGAAUAUUGCACAGUGGGCGGAAGCCUGAUGCAGCGACGCCGCGUGGGGGAUGACGGCCUUCGGGUUGUAAUCCGCUUUCGCCUGUGACGAGGCGUGAGUGACGGUAAUGGAUAAAGAAGCACCGGCUAACUACGUG